UCCCAGGUAGCUGUUUAGAAGGAGAAUUAACAGUAGGAACAUGGUAUUCCGCUUAACAUUGGCACCUGUAAACGCGUAAUAGCGCAUUUCUCUGUUAUUAUUACUGUGCAGAUACCGCUGUGUAUUUACUUAAUUUAAAUACGUCUUUCUUACUUAAAGCGAAAGUACUCCGCAAACAAUGGAUCUUCGUUCUGCUCACUAAAGUGACACUUCUCAAAUAUAGCAGGUAUUGCUUCAACAGCUAAAUUAGUUUUUAGUAAGUGGCAACCCGUUUAUUAAUAACAACCAAUUAGGAAUGUACGAAUCCACUUAAUGCGCAGAACUAAAUUAAUGUUCCUGCUACAUUUAUUGCCGAGGCCUAAUAUUUCCGAAGAGAUAAAAUAGAUAUCUAUUAUUAAAUAUCCCAUCCGUGAUGAAAGACUUUUGAUUAUUGUCGUGAUUCAUGAGAAUCAUUGUGGGAAAUAACGCUUACAGGAUGUUCAGACUUAUCGACAUACUACAUUACGUGUGAAGUACUCUGCUUUAAGGCAGAAGAGGAAGUGAAGCCACGAAUCUGGACCUCAGAGGACAGGAGGGAAGAGACUGCUGGACAUGGAUCUCCUCCCACGGUGUAAAAGCAUGUGGUUCGGACGACCGUCGCAUCUACAUUUCCCUCACUCUGAGGACUGUGAUGGACUGGCAUCCCAUCCAGGGUGUGCCCUACUUUGUUUGCUGCCUGGGAUGGACUUGGGGCUCAGCUUGCUUCUCUAGUCGAUAAAUAGUUAUGGGUGAUAGAUAGAUAUUUUGAUGAUGACACCCAAGACCAUAAUCAUGUGGAUAUUGCGCAGAAAAAAAUGAAACUGCACUCUUAGCAGCAGAGAGCCUACACUCCCCUCACCAUCAACGGAUCUCCUGUGGAGAGGGUGAGGAGUUUUAAAUAUCUGGAUGUCCACAUUUCUGAGGAUCUGAGGUGGACUGUUCACAAGUCCAGUCCAAAAGGGCUAAGCAGCACCUUUACCACUUGCGACAGCUGAGGAAGUUCAAGGUCUCUCCAACAAUCCUAUGGACUUUCUACUCAGGCGCCAUGGAGAGCAUCCUGACUCAAAACAUUACUUAUUGGUUUGGGGAUAGCAGUGUUCAGGAUCGCAAAGCCCUCCGGAGGGUGAUCUGUGCAGCAGAACUUCCAUCUCUUCAGGACAUUCACAUUAUGAGAUGUAGGAGCAGGGCCUUCAGGAUCAUGAAGGACACAUCCCACCCCAAUAACAGCCUGUUUCAGCUUCUGAAAUCAGGAAUGAGACUCGUGAACAUCAUGGGCAGGACUGAGAGGCUUAGGAGGAGUUUCUAUCCCCAGGCCAUAAGGCUUCUGAUCCUGAACAUGCCACUGCACCGCACACCGUGAUGUACACUGUGCUCUUUUACCCCUCACCAUAUCCGCACUGCCGCACUAGUCACUGCACUGUGCUUGCACUUUUAUCUUGUAUUUUAGAUUUUUGCACUUUAACCAGUUUACAUAAUUGGAUUUUAACUUGCACAGUUUAAAAAGAGCGGUUCAGGAUGCAUUUCACUACGUGUUGUACUUUGUAUGAUUAUGUAUGUGACAAUUAAAGAAUCUUGAAUCUUG